rnacentral:lncRNA from 1 species
AAGAAACAGAAUAGAAGAGACGAAACAGAGAAAGAAACAGAGAGCAAAACGGGCAGAGAAGGAAGGAAAGAAAGAAAGAAAGAAAGAAAAAGAAAAAGGGAAAUUUAAGGUUUUAAGGUUCCAAGCUCAAUUGGUAAGUCAAAUUAAGUCUUUUUCUUAUAAUUUUUGAGUUUUUGGAAUCCUAGAGAUAAUACUACUUGAUUUAUGUUGAUAUUUUGAAAGUUAGUAGAUUGUUAGACAUGAGUUAUGUUGAAUUAAUUGAUGAACUAGAGGUUAAAAUGAUUGAAUUUUAAGUUAGAAGCUAGUAAAAGAUUGAUUUGUAAAAUAAAAUAUAAGUUUUGAAUUGAUAGGGCUUAAAUUGGAAAAAAAUACCAAUAUUCAUAAGAAUAUGUUAGAGUGUGAUUUUGAUAUUGCCAUAGAAGGGAAAAAUGAUCAGCAUGUCAUAAAACAUAAGAAAAUAGGAUGAAGUUUAAUUUACGAGCCUUGAGGCAAAAGUGCAAAUAUGUGAAAGUUUAGGGGUAAAAAUAUAAUUUUACAAAAGUUUGGGUCAAGGACUGUUUUAAUAAAUUUGAAUAUUAAAUAAGUUAAAUUUACUAUUUUAGAUCAAGAAGUACGAAACUCGAGGUUAGACAAAGGGAAGAAUAAAGUUGAAGACUAAGUUGGUAAAUUUGGCUAUAAUUGGUACCGAGGUAAGUUUACAGUAAAUAAAUGCAAUAUUCUUUUAUUUUACAUUAUUAUUGUCAAUUUCCAGCAUUUAUAUAUUUAUGUUAUGAAAAUAUUUAAAGUCGAAUUUAAGGUGAAGUGACAGAGGAAAAGUGUUAGAAAGCCCCGGUUGAACCCUAGGAAUGUUAGGAUAUUAGGGUUGACAGGACAGAACAGAAAUGAGCCAUGUAAGUCCAUAUUAGAAAUAUGGCUUUGGAGACAGGAUUGAGCCAUGUAAGUCCAUAUUAUAUAUGGCAUUGGAGACAGGAAUAAUUCAUGUAAGUCCAUGUCAAAGACAUGGCAUUGGCAGGGUAUUGAUAGACAAGAAUGACCCUAGUAUCCUUAGUAUUCCGAGUGGUUCAACGGGUCAGAAUACGAGUUAAAUUACAGUGAAUUAACAGCAAAGGAAAAGUAGAUUAUAUUUAUGAAAACGGAAAGGUCAGGUAAGAAAGAAGGUAAGGGAAUAAAGAAGAAGAUAGAAAUUGAGAAGUAAAGAAAUUUAUGAUGUUAGAUGAUAUUAUGCAUAAUUAUCCAUUAUGUUGAAUGUUGUGAUUUAUUUGCUUGUAAGCUUACUAAGCCUAGUGCUUAAUCUCUUUAUUUUCUUCUUCUUAUAGUACUUAUCUAGCCACUCGGGGAUCGAAGGAAACGUCGGAGGCCGAUCACACUAUCAAAGAAAUAACUCGGUAUAAUUAGACGUUUUGUUUUGUGUAUGGCAUGUAUAGGGAUUUAGUUAUUUUGUAUGUUUGUAGUGAUGAUUUUGCUAAUGAGUGAUGUGUAAGUAGUUGAUGAUGUAUGGUUAUUAAAAUGAUUAAGGAUGAAGGUGUUUGUUGUUAUGAAAGAUUAGGUGAUAAAUUAUGCAUGGAAAUCAUGAAAGGAUAAAAUUUUGCAAAGAAACAGAAUUCAGGCAGCACAGUGACGUGAAUUUGAAAAAUCACCCAAGAUAGUAUAAAAUGAAUUAGAGGGUGAAUGAUAUAUGGAAUUAAAGCUUGUUGAGUCUAUUUUCAUGGAAAAAUAACGGUGUAGAAAAAAAAGAAAUUUAUAUUUUAAUAUAUGUGAAUUUUAGUAAGAUAGGGUCAGAACUGUUUUUGGAGUCCCCUGUUCUGAGUUUAGAAAAUAAUUACAAAUUGUACAAAAAUGGUUAUGAGUUGAAAUUUACAUUCUUAGAUUCCUUAAUGAGUCUAUUUUCUAUAGAAACAAGUAAGAACUUCAUAUGAAAAUCCUAUAGUGAGAAAACUUAUUUUUAGUGACUAGAGGUCAGGGCAGUCUGGUGGUGACACAGGGGAGACUUUAACUAAUAAACUGUACUAAUUUGCUGAACCAAAAAUUCUAAAAAUUUUAUGGUGAGUAGAUAUAUGAGUCUAGUUUUAGGGAAAAUUUACGGGAUUAAAUUUCGAGUUCUGUAGCUCAAGUUAUAAUUAAUUUAGUAACUGCUGCGCGAUUAGACAGAUUUGCUGCGAAUAAUAAAAUAAAUUUUCAAACCUAGUUUUUAUGCUCCGAACUGGUAAGAUAAGCUAAGUAAUGCCUCGUGCUCAACUCCGGAAACGGUCUCGGGUAAGGGGUGUUACAUUUAUUGGUAUCAGAGCAGGUUUAGUCGGUUCUCGGAAUAGUUAGUGUGAGAAAAGUCUAGCUAUACAUGCCAUACUUUAUUUUGAUAGUGUGACGACUCCUGACGAUUUUAAAAUGUUUUCUUUUAUAGUUAUGGAUCCUGAACGAGCUAGUACAGAUGAAGUAGAGAGUAAUGCACCUAUUCCCGCAGAAGGGACGGUGCCAUCAGAUGUUAUAUCAGUCAUAUAUUUCCUAAGUGUUCUGUUUCGUCUACUGGGCCUCUGCUAAAAAAAAUGUUACAAGAUAAAAGAUUGUCUUUGAUUCAAUGAUGAAUGAUUAUAAAGGAAAAAUAAGUUACAAAGCUGUGAAUAAAGAAGUAUGUAUUUGUAAUAAAAUAAUUUAAAGUUGUGAAUAAGUAAAUGUUAUUUAGUUCUGUAUGGAGAUUUAAAAUAGUAAUCCUUAUAGAUAAGGAUGAAAAUAUACAUUUAUACACUUAAAAGAGUAACCUUGAUAAAUGAGAAAUGUUUUACUAAUAGACAAAAAUGUCUCCAAUUGAUCUAGUUCCGACAGUGAUGAAAGUGAUAUUUGAGUAUUUGAUAGAGAAAGGGGAGUUGCCUAUAUGAGUAAAGAUUUAUAAGGUAUGAAAUGAAUGUUUGUAAUGAAUAUAUUGACGAUAAAAGUUAUGUUAUGUGUAUAUAUAUAAGUAUAUAUAUAUAAGAGUCAAAUUUUGAGGCUUUACGACCUUCACCCCCUCACCUGAACAAUGGAAUUUACAAUAAUUGUAUUCAUUAAGUUUACAAGUGUGAAAUUGAAGAGUUCAAUAAUUGAAGGAAUAAUAAUGCAGUUAGAAUUGUGGAUGGGAUAGCAAGUAAAGAGAGUUCUAGAAAGGAUAUUAGAUUUUUUUUAAAUGAUUAUUGGGAUUUGCAAUGUCGCUAUUAAGGAAGAAGCUAUUCACGAGUAACCGACUUAUUCAGGUAUAAAUUUUAAAGAGCAGGUUAAUCGGAAUUUCUUCUGAAUUGAUUUCUUUAAUGAUUGAGAUAAUGUGAGAUUAUUGAUGACUUUAGUAAUCAGUGGGAUUGUGUUGAAAAUUGCAAACAUAUCUGAAUGCAGUUGUUAUAGUCGAGUAUUUUACAAUGAUCUCUUCUGGGUAUUCUAUAUGGGUAUUCUAUAUGCUCUUUUAUCCUCAGAGGUAUAUGCAAUUAUUUAUUUUCAGAUAUGAUUCUUAUCAUAUAGCAAGGUUGGCUAAUCGUAUUGUUAGACGAAAUUAUUAUUAGUCUGGUUGAUUCAUGAUCGGGAUUCCUCUAUCUUUCCUUGAUUUUCUAAUCUAUUAUGUUCGAUGGAAGAUUUGAUGAUAAGACUCAUAUGAAGCUAUUUUCUAUUUCUACUGGUUGAAGCUCCGAAUUAUAUAUAUGGAAUUUAUAUUGUCUUUAUCACAACUAUUCCUAGUACGUACAAGUGAUAUUCUUCUUUUGGAUUUUCUCUGGGAUAUCAUCGAUCUCUUUAUCAUUCAAUGUGGUUUUUCUUCUCGGAAAUUUAGUAUAGCUUCACAUCUUGGAUUUUAUAAUCUCAGUUUUCUUAUUAUUCUUAUGGUCUAAUCUUAUCUAUUAACCAUGGUUUAUCCGUACAAGAUAUUCAUUGGCCGGAGGUAAUUAUAUUUAUUACUGUUAUAAAUCUUGGUUUGAUCAUGGGAACUUGGUGAUAUGGAUCUCAGAUUUUAGAAGUUGUAUUACUGCACUGGUUGUUAUUGGGACUACUUCGGUUUUCUUCAUCUAUUUUGGAGUGCACUAUUGAUGUUGAGGUAUUGUUCUAUCUAUAUAGUUGGAACGUCGGUCCUAGUAUAGCUCUAUAGUUUUUAAUCUAUUUGAUGGUUGUGGCUUCGGUAUAGUUCAAAGCUUCGAUGUUAAUGAUUGAAAUAGUUUUAUUAUAUAUAAUUCCUUUCUAGUUUUCGUGAAAGGGUUGACAUCGGCAAAAGUAUAGAUGGAGGAAGAUUGAGCUCAAACUUGUAUUUUGGUUUUCACUUCUCAGAUAAUUCUGAAAUUAUGUCAACAAGUCAAUAAUGGAAUGUCAAAAUUCGUUUGAGUUAAAUGCCAUUAGUGGAAAUUUUCGAUUGGUGUUCCGAGAGGAUUAUGAUAUAUGGUAUAUCUGGAUUGUUUUGACAACAAGAAGAUUGGAUUAUUCUGAAAUGUUAUUAUCUGAUAGAUAAAACCGACUCAGUUGUUUUAAUCAGAGUGGGUUAUUCAUUGAAAAGUUAAUUGAGUUAUAAUCAGUGAUGGAAUCAGUACAUCUUGGGUCUCCACAAUGGGUUUAAAUUAUCUGUUUUCUUAUCGCUGGAUGGGUUUCCAAGAUCUUCGUUCAAAGGUAUUAAAUAAGAUAAUUCGGGUUUCUCAGUUAUGUUUCGACAGACAAUUACUGGACAUUUCUUGGUAGUCAUACUACUAGUGAAAAAGUGAUGGCAAGAAAACAUCAGAGCUGCUCAGUUAAGUUCAGGCAUAGUAUCAAUUUCUAAAAUGAGUUUUGGUAUGAGUUCGGAAGUGAUAUGAGUUAUGAUUAAUUUUUAUGGACUUCGAUUGAAAGGGGUGAAGAAAGAUUUGACUUAAUAGCUUGUAUCAGGUGAGAAAUUUCGAGGACGAAAUUUUUUUUAAGGGGGGGAGAGUUGUAACAGCCCAAUUUUCAGUAGUGUCAGAACAGUGAUUUGAGAUCACUAAAUUCGAUGAAGAAGUUAGAAAUAUUUUUGAAUUAGUGAAUUUUGUGAUUUAAAAGAAAUUAUUAGGUAAAUUGGGUCAAAAACGAGGUAUCGAGACCUCGAUAUCAUAAACUGAGUCGUAAAUAUUUUUAUAAAUAUUUACAGAGUGUCAAUAGGAUAAUAUUAAAGUUUCGUUUCAGUAGUGUCAGAACAGUGAUUUGAGAUCACUAAAUUCGAUGAAGAAGUUAGAAAUAUUUUUGAAUUAGUGAAUUUUGUGGUUUAAAAGAAAUUAUUAGGUAAAUUGGGUCAAAAACGAGGUAUCGAGACCUCGAUAUCAUAAACUGAGCCGUAAAUAUUUUUAUAAAUAUUUACAGAGUGUCAAUAGGAUAAUAUUAAAGUUUCGUUAAGAAAUUUUAACGUUUCGAUAGUUAAUUAUGAAAAAGGAUUAAAUUGCAAUAGGGAUAAAAGUUUAAUUAUAGAUUAAAGAAAAGUUAAAAGGACCAAAUAGGCAAUUAUGCCUUUUUCCAAAGUUGAGGCGGCAUAAGUAUAAAAAUCUGAGAUUUUUAUGUGUUAAAAAAAUAUUAUAUUAUAGUAAUGAUUAUGUUUUUAUAUUAUAUUAUUAUUAAUAUAUUAUAUUAUAUUAUAUAUAUACAUAAAACAAAAGAAAGAAUAGAAAAAAAAGAAAGAAAAGAAACAGAAUAGAAGAGACGAAACAGAGAAAGAAACAGAGAGCAAAACGGGCAGAGAAGGAAGGAAAGAAAGAAAGAAAGAAAGAAAAAGAAAAAGGGAAAUUUAAGGUUUUAAGGUUCCAAGCUCAAUUGGUAAGUCAAAUUAAGUCUUUUUCUUAUAAUUUUUGAGUUUUUGGAAUCCUAGAGAUAAUACUACUUGAUUUAUGUUGAUAUUUUGAAAGUUAGUAGAUUGUUAGACAUGAGUUAUGUUGAAUUAAUUGAUGAACUAGAGGUUAAAAUGAUUGAAUUUUAAGUUAGAAGCUAGUAAAAGAUUGAUUUGUAAAAUAAAAUAUAAGUUUUGAAUUGAUAGGGCUUAAAUUGGAAAAAAAUACCAAUAUUCAUAAGAAUAUGUUAGAGUGUGAUUUUGAUAUUGCCAUAGAAGGGAAAAAUGAUCAGCAUGUCAUAAAACAUAAGAAAAUAGGAUGAAGUUUAAUUUACGAGCCUUGAGGCAAAAGUGCAAAUAUGUGAAAGUUUAGGGGUAAAAAUAUAAUUUUGCAAAAGUUUGGGUCAAGGACUGUUUUAAUAAAUUUGAAUAUUAAAUAAGUUAAAUUUACUAUUUUAGAUCAAGAAGUACGAAACUCGAGGUUAGACAAAGGGAAGAAUAAAGUUGAAGACUAAGUUGGUAAAUUUGGCUAUAAUUGGUACCGAGGUAAGUUUACAGUAAAUAAAUGCAAUAUUCUUUUAUUUUACAUUAUUAUUGUCAAUUUCCAGCAUUUAUAUAUUUAUGUUAUGAAAAUAUUUAAAGUCGAAUUUAAGGUGAAGUGACAGAGGAAAAGUGUUAGAAAGCCCCGGUUGAACCCUAGGAAUGUUAGGAUAUUAGGGUUGACAGGACAGAACAGAAAUGAGCCAUGUAAGUCCAUAUUAGAAAUAUGGCUUUGGAGACAGGAUUGAGCCAUGUAAGUCCAUAUUAUAUAUGGCAUUGGAGACAGGAAUAAUUCAUGUAAGUCCAUGUCAAAGACAUGGCAUUGGCAGGGUAUUGAUAGACAAGAAUGACCCUAGUAUCCUUAGUAUUCCGAGUGGUUCAACGGGUCAGAAUACGAGUUAAAUUACAGUGAAUUAACAGCAAAGGAAAAGUAGAUUAUAUUUAUGAAAACGGAAAGGUCAGGUAAGAAAGAAGGUAAGGGAAUAAAGAAGAAGAUAGAAAUUGAGAAGUAAAGAAAUUUAUGAUGUUAGAUGAUAUUAUGCAUAAUUAUCCAUUAUGUUGAAUGUUGUGAUUUAUUUGCUUGUAAGCUUACUAAGCCUAGUGCUUAAUCUCUUUAUUUUCUUCUUCUUAUAGUACUUAUCUAGCCACUCGGGGAUCGAAGGAAACGUCGGAGGCCGAUCACACUAUCAAAGAAAUAACUCGGUAUAAUUAGACGUUUUGUUUUGUGUAUGGCAUGUAUAGGGAUUUAGUUAUUUUGUAUGUUUGUAGUGAUGAUUUUGCUAAUGAGUGAUGUGUAAGUAGUUGAUGAUGUAUGGUUAUUAAAAUGAUUAAGGAUGAAGGUGUUUGUUGUUAUGAAAGAUUAGGUGAUAAAUUAUGCAUGGAAAUCAUGAAAGGAUAAAAUUUUGCAAAGAAACAGAAUUCAGGCAGCACAGUGACGUGAAUUUGAAAAAUUACCCAAGAUAGUAUAAAAUGAAUUAGAGGGUGAAUGAUAUAUGGAAUUAAAGCUUGUUGAGUCUAUUUUCAUGGAAAAAUAACGGUGUAGAAAAAAAAGAAAUUUAUAUUUUAAGAUAUGUGAAUUUUAGUAAGAUAGGGUCAGAACUGUUUUUGGAGUCCCCUGUUCUGAGUUUAGAAAAUAAUUACAAAUUGUACAAAAAUGGUUAUGAGUUGAAAUUUACAUGCUUAGAUUCCUUAAUGAGUCUAUUUUCUAUAGAAACAAGUAAGAACUUCAUAUGAAAAUCCUAUAGUGAGAAAACUUAUUUUUAGUGACUAGAGGUCAGGGCAGUCUGGUGGUGACACAGGGGAGACUUUAACUAAUAAACUGUACUAAUUUGCUGAACCAAAAAUUCUAAAAAUUUUAUGGUGAGUAGAUAUAUGAGUCUAGUUUCAGGGAAAAUUUACGGGAUUAAAUUUCGAGUUCUGUAGCUCAAGUUAUAAUUAAUUUAGUAACUGCUGCGCGAUUAGACAGAUUUGCUGCGAAUAAUAAAAUAAAUUUUCAAACCUAGUUUUUAUGCUCCGAACUGGUAAGAUAAGCUAAGUAAUGCCUCGUGCUCAACUCCGGAAACGGUCUCGGGUAAGGGGUGUUACAUACUUCAUAUAAUGAGGUGUAGUAGUAGUGUCAGUUGCUGGAGAGGUACGUUUCAGGUUGCAUAACAGACCUUGAACCGGGCCCUGCGUACUACAAUGACUGCUUGCUCCGUGGAUGCCAAAUGGUC